AUUGAACGCUGGCGGCAUGCCUUACACAUGCAAGUCGAACGGCAGCAUGAUCUAGCUUGCUAGAUUGAUGGCGAGUGGCGAACGGGUGAGUAAUACAUCGGAACGUGCCCUGUAGUGGGGGAUAACUAGUCGAAAGAUUAGCUAAUACCGCAUACGACCUGAGGGUGAAAGUGGGGGACCGCAAGGCCUCAUGCUAUAGGAGCGGCCGAUGUCUGAUUAGCUAGUUGGUGAGGUAAAGGCUCACCAAGGCGACGAUCAGUAGCUGGUCUGAGAGGACGAUCAGCCACACUGGGACUGAGACACGGCCCAGACUCCUACGGGAGGCAGCAGUGGGGAAUUUUGGACAAUGGGCGAAAGCCUGAUCCAGCAAUGCCGCGUGUGUGAAGAAGGCCUUCGGGUUGUAAAGCACUUUUGUCCGGAAAGAAAUGGCUCUGGUUAAUACCUGGGGUC
rnacentral:rRNA from 1 species